rnacentral:lncRNA from 1 species
AGCGAGUGGAGUCAUUCUGCAUGAUCCAAAUGACCCUCGAAAGAGAAAGUUAUUAAAUUGGAACGUGGACUUGUUGCCUUCCUCUAACUUGACCUAAUUCUUGCUGGGUCACUGUCCCAUUUUAUUAAGUACCAGACGAUCUGGCCGAGCAGCGAGUGGAGUCAUUCUGCAUGAUCCAAAUCUUGCAGAGCUCAACGAAACCCAGCGGGCCUAGACUCAAAGAUUUUAGGCAAUGAUCAGGAAAACAAAGUAAUAAUUGAGUUUAGGCUAAGUGGUGAGAUAACAAGUUACGAUUAGGAAAAGAUUCCGAACAUUCGUUUUUUAAUUCUGCACUCUUAUGUUUGUUUUCUUCCGUCUCUUAAUUUGUCAUUAAUUUAUUCAACCUAACAGUUAAAAGAGACGAGCUUAAAAUAAGAAAAAUAUGUAGAACGAGAAAAAUAGAGUGCAGACAUCAUAAUUAGUAAUUAGUACCUUUUGAAUGAAUGCCAAGCCUUCAAAGUCAAGGGCGAAGAAAUGUAAAAGGAGUGCUGGUGGGAGCUGGGAAGUGAGGAGCACGAUCCCCGGGUUUGAUUAAUAUUUUAAAAAGCUGGUUGGUGAGUUGUGAAUUUCAAUUUCAACUGAAGUACUGAGCAAGUGAGUAGCAUCUGAUUUUGGUAUGUUGCACACGUGCAUUGCGAUCUAACUACCCAUAUCAUAAUAUGCUAGGAAUAUUUUUGCUCACGUACCACCCAUUGUAUGAGUUUAAAUUUCGAGAUUUGUAUAAUGGAUGGAUACAAAUCUCAAAAUUUGAACUCAUUCAAUUGUAAUAGGGAAGGCAGUGAGCACCACCACCACUCGGGUGUGUUGAGUGAAAAAUGCACCCUAAUAUGCCCCUUCCUCACAUUUCCUUAUGAAAAAUGAUAUCUGCACUCAUUUUCUUCUUUUGCAUACCUUGCUUAUUUGUGUCCUUGAUUUUCCUUUAAUUUAUGCAAACCUAAACAAUGUGUAUGUAAGAAGAAAAAGAGUGCGGAUAUCAUUUUCCUUCGUUUUCUAUCUUUGUUUUUUUU